rnacentral:tRNA from 4 species
CGGGCUAUAGCGCAGCUUGGUAGCGCGUCCGUCUGGGGGACGGAAGGUCGUGGGUUCAAAUCCCGCUAGCCCGA